UUUUGUGUUUUGAUGUUUUGUCGCGUGACUUAUUGCUAAAUUUUGCUUAAGCUUAAAAUUUGUAUGCUCAAUUUAACAAGCUGAUUGCUCAAUAAUAUUUUCUCCAGCAUCAUUUGAGACCAUAACCAACCCAGAAUAUAUACUAAUAUGCUAUCUUGUUAACCUGGAAAUUUUUUUCGUAGCAUCAAUUGAUAAUCCUUUAAAAUAUGCUAUCUUGUUAACCUGGAAAUUUUAAUCUUAGCAUCAAUUGAUAAUCCAUUCAGGAACUCCAACUAAUCAAGCAUCAAUUGAUAAUCCAUUCAGGAACUCCAACUAAUCAAGGUAAAUUUAAAAUAUGCUAUUUUGUUAACCUGGAAAUUUUAAUAUUAACAUCACUUGAUAUAAUCCAUUCAGGAACUCCAACUAAUCAAGCAUCACUUGAUAUAAUCCAUUCAGGAACUCCAAAGUAAAUUUAAAAUAUGCUAUCUUGUAAACCUGGAAAUUAUAAUCUUAGCAUCACUUGAUAUAAUUUAUUCAGGAACUCCAACCAACCAAACAUCACUUGAUAUAAUCCAUUCAGGAACUCCGACCAACCAAAGAAAAUUUAAAAUAUGCUACUAGUUUUAUCUGGAAAUUAUGAUUAUUCAAUAAAUCAAUUAAUUUUUUUAAAGCAAAAUGCCCAAUAUAAAUUUAUAAAAUCUAAAUUUAAUAAAAAUCUACUAUUUUCUAAUAAUUAUUUAUAUUCUCAAAAUAGAGAAAACUAUUAUAUGCAUACCAAUGACAUAUGUCAUUGAUGCUUACAUAGAUAUUUAUUAAUUAUUAGGUUUUUACCUAAAAAUUCACAUCACUCUUUAUCAAUAUUAUGAUCAUGCUGUUAAAAUUUUCAUUUUUUAAUGCUUUUUAUACCAAAUUUACACCAUUUUAUAUAAUAUUGAUAUGCAAAAAGUAAUUACCAUAAUUUUAUAUAUUACUAUUGAAAUACAAAUUGCAAUCAUUAUUUUAUAUACCACCUAUUGAUAUACAAAUUGUAAUCAUCAUUUUCUAUACAAUUAAUAUUCAAUUGCAAUAUAUACAAAUAUUUAUACACCACC